rnacentral:rRNA from 1 species
UGGGGAAUCUUGCGCAAUGGGCGAAAGCCUGCCGCAGCGACGCCGCGUGGGUGAUGAAGGCCUUCGGGUUGUAAAGCCCUGUGGAGAGGGACGAAUAAGUUCGACCUAAUACGUCGGGCGACGACGGUACCUCUUUAGCAAGCACCGGCUAACUCUGUGCCAGCAGCCGCGGUAAGACAGAGGGUGCAAACGUUGUUCGGAAUUACUGGGCGUAAAGCGCGUGUAGGCGGUCGUGCAAGUCGGGUGUGAAAGCCCAGGGCUCAACCCUGGAAGUGCAUUCGAUACUGCAUGGCUAGAGUCCCGGAGAGGAUGGUGGAACUCUCGGUGUAGAGGUGAAAUUCGUAGAUAUCGAGAAGAACACCGGUGGCGAAGGCGGCCAUCUGGACGGUGACUGACGCUGAGACGCGAAAGCGUGGGGAGCAAACA